GGUAGCAUAAUCAUUAGUCUUUUAAUUGGAGACUGGUAUGAAUGGCUAAACGAGAGAUCAACUUUUUUUACCGUAAAAAUUGAAUUUAACUUUUUAGUGAAAAGGCUAAAAUUUUUCAGAAAGACGAGAAGACCCUAUAGAGUUUUAUAAAGGACUAAUACUUUUUAUUUGGAUUUUUAUAAAAAAAUAUUAAUAAAUUUAUUUUGUUGGGGCGACAUUUAGAUAAAAAAAACUCUUUAUAAGAAAAAUUUUUAUGAAAAUAUGGAUUGAUCCUUUAAAAAAGAUCAUAAGAAAAAAUUACCUUAGGGAUAACAGCGUAAUCUUUUUUGAGAGUUCUAAUCGACAAGAAGGUUUGCGACCUCGAUGUUGGACUAAAAUUAGGGCAGGGU
rnacentral:rRNA from 1 species